AACGCUAGCUACAGGCUUAACACAUGCAAGUCGAGGGGCAGCAUGAACUUAGCUUGCUAAGUUUGAUGGCGACCGGCGCACGGGUGAGUAACACGUAUCCAACCUGCCGCUUACUCGGGGAUAGCCUUUCGAAAGAAAGAUUAAUACCCGAUGGUAUAAAGAGUUCGCAUGUUCUCUUUAUUAAAGAAUUUCGGUAAGCGAUGGGGAUGCGUUCCAUUAGAUUGUUGGCGGGGUAACGGCCCACCAAGUCUACGAUGGAUAGGGGUUCUGAGAGGAAGGUCCCCCACAUUGGAACUGAGACACGGUCCAAACUCCUACGGGAGGCAGCAGUGAGGAAUAUUGGUCAAUGGACGAGAGUCUGAACCAGCCAAGUAGCGUGAAGGAUGACUGCCCUAUGGGUUGUAAACUUCUUUUAUAAGGGAAUAAAGUGAGGGACGUGUCCCUUUUUGUAUGUACCUUAUGAAUAAGGAUCGGCUAACUCCGUGCCAGCAGCCGCGGUAAUACGGAGGAUCCAAGCGUUAUCCGGAUUUAUUGGGUUUAAAGGGAGCGUAGGUUGACAUAUAAGUCAGCUGUGAAAGUUUACGGCUCAACCGUGAAAUUGCAGUUGAUACUGUAUGUCUUGAGUGUACAAGAGGUGGGCGGAAUUCGUGGUGUAGCGGUGAAAUGCUUAGAUAUCACGAAGAACUCCGAUUG
rnacentral:rRNA from 1 species